rnacentral:rRNA from 1 species
AGUCUGACGGAGCACGCCGCGUGAGUGAUGAAGGUUUUCGGAUCGUAAAACUCUGUUGUUAGGGAAGAACAAGUUGGGUAGUAACUGACCCAACCUUGACGGUACCUAACCAGAAAGCCACGGCUAACUACGUGCCAGCAGCCGCGGUAAUACGUAGGUGGCAAGCGUUGUCCGGAAUUAUUGGGCGUAAAGCGCUCGCAGGCGGUCCUUUAAGUCUGAUGUGAAAUCUCGCGGCUCAACCGCGAACGGUCAUUGGAAACUGGAGGACUUGAGUACAGAAGAGGAGAGUGGAAUUCCACGUGUAGCGGUGAAAUGCGUAGAGAUGUGGAGGAACACCAGUGGCGAAGGCGACUCUCUGGUCUGUAACUGACGCUGAGGAGCGAAAGCGUGGGGAGCGAACAGGAUUAGAUACCCUGGUAGUCCACGCCGUAAACGAUGAGUGCUAGGUGUUAGGGGGUUUCCGCCCCUUAGUGCUGAAGUUAACGCAUAAGCACUCCGCCUGGG